GACGAACACUGGCGGCGUGCUUAACACAUGCAAGUCGUACGGUAAGGCCCUUUCGGGGGUACACGAGUGGCGAACGGGUGAGUAGCACGUGAGUAACCUGCCCACAACUUUGGGAUAACGCUAGGAAACUGGUGCUAAUACUGGAUAUGUGCUCCUGCUGCAUGGUGGGGGUUGGAAAGCUCCGGCGGUUGUGGAUGGACUCGCGGCCUAUCAGCUUGUUGGUGGGGUAGUGGCCUACCAAGGCGGCGACGGGUAGCCGGCCUGAGAGGGUGACCGGCCACAUUGGGACUGAGAUACGGCCCAGACUCCUACGGGAGGCAGCAGUGGGGAAUAUUGCACAAUGGGCGCAAGCCUGAUGCAGCAACGCCGCGUGCGGGAUGACGGCCUUCGGGUUGUAAACCGCUUUCAGCAGGGACGAAGCUUUUUGUGACGGUACCUGCAGAAGAAGCACCGGCUAACUACGUG
rnacentral:rRNA from 1 species